rnacentral:lncRNA from 1 species
UUCUAUGAUUCUAAUUAGUAUGUGCCUAAUUAGUAUGUGCCACUAGCGGUGGUUGCUUUGAGUGGUAUACUCUUGGUAUAUCAAGUCUUCAAAGCAAUGACAGCUUGGCCAUCUAAAGGGACUUGGGUUUGCUGAUACAUCACUUUCAUCAUCAAACGCUUGUCCUAAUUCUAAAGAUAAAUUACCUCCUUUUUUUUUUUUUCCCUGGAGGAAUUUGGCAAGUGGUGUGUGGUGACCCUGACUGUACCUUUUGGGUCAUUGGCAUGGGUGGGUUGUAGCAAGGAUGGGACCCAUGGGGUUGUUGGCUGUCUCCAUGGCCAUGCUCUCCUGCCAGGACCAUGGGGCCUGACCUUAACCCACAGGAAAACUCAUCACCAGGUUCUCCAGAGCGUGGCACAUGAGUGAGCAUUGCAGGCUGUAACCUGCUGGGGUAAUCCUCUCCUCAGCGAUGGUUCUUUGUUAGGACCAGCAUAAUAGCCCUGCAAUUAGUCAUUUUUUUUGCCCUGAAGCUGGCUUUGGGUCAUGCCUCUGUUUAACCUUGGUCUCCAGGGAUGCCACCCAUAGUUUUCUACCCGGGUAAUGAGGUUGCUCAGGAGGCUGGUGUUUUUUUGACUGGUUUAUUUUCCCCAAGGAGAGCUUUCUGCUACUGGCUCAGCAGUGGAGUUCUCUGAAUCAGACAGGUUUUUUUUUUCUCUCUUUUCACUGUUUUAGGCAGCAAGUGAAGUUGAGAGAUGAAUUGGUUACUGCUGGCUUUGGGAAUCUUCAAUCUGGACUCUGCCACGCCGUUAACUUUGCAAGCAGAAAGAUGACACGUGAAUUCUGGAGCUACAGAAAUGGAAUGAGGAGGAAUAUGGUUGUCUGCGUGCAGGGUUAAGAGGCUGAAAUUCUAACAGAAGGUAUCGUGGCAGCUGUAAAACCUCUUCAGACUUGCUCCCAGGAACAAAGCAGGAGCAAUCCCAGAAUCCCGAAGGAAUCAGAGAGGAGAGAGGUUUGUCAUGGCAUCUAGUUCUUAACUGGGGAGGGAACCAAGAAUUAACAAUUGCUUGUUGGAAGUGAGAGACUGAAGAUCAGUGUGUUCCAAAUGCCAUCCCUGCUGGCAUUUGGCUGUAUUGGUUUUUUUGGAAUAUAUUCCAAAGGGAAAGGUGACCAGGGCAGUGAACUUCACCUCUAGAAAGAUACUUGGCAUCUGGGGCUUGUAACAGGGAGGGGCCUGUGUUCCUGGCAAUAACAAAUCCAUUUUGUGCUAUUUAAAACAGUUAAAAACAAGAUUCUACUGCACUUCCUAGAGCAGAGCUCAUCUCUUGAGACAAACUUAACAAAUCCCCUUGUGUUUGGUACCUGGAAAAAAAAUAAAUCACACCAGUCUCACCA